CACUACAUAGGUGGUUAACAUUCGAGAUUCUCAUUCUUGAGCCAGGGGUUCGAUUCCCCUAUUCGGUGA